rnacentral:tRNA from 1 species
GAUAUAGCUUACUGGGAUGGUGCUUGCCUGGAAAGUGUGAGGUCCUGGGUUUGAUUCCCAGUAUC